rnacentral:miRNA from 1 species
AAACUGGCGACGUGGGACGGUC